CGGAGGCAGCAGUGGGGAAUAUUGGGCAAUGGUCGGAAGACUGACCCAGCCAUGCCGCGUGCAGGAAGACGGCGUUCUGCGUUGUAAACUGCUUUUAUCUGGGAAGAAAAGGCCCAUGCGUGGGACAUUGCCGGUACCAGAUGAAUAAGCACCGGCUAACUCCGUGCCAGCAGCCGCGGUAAUACGGAGGGUGCAAGCGUUGUCCGGAUUUAUUGGGUUUAAAGGGUGCGUAGGCGGCUAUUUAAGUCAGCGGUGAAAGACUCCAGCUUAACCGGAGCAGUGCCAUUGAUACUGGAUAGCUUGAGUGUUGGAGGGGUACAUGGAAUUGAUGGUGUAGCGGUGAAAUGCAUAGAUACCAUCAGGAACACCGAUAGCGAAGGCAUUGUACUGGCCAACAACUGACGCUGAGGCACGAAAGUGUGGGGAUCGAACAGGAUUAGAUACCCCUGUAGUCC
rnacentral:rRNA from 1 species